GCUGAUGUGUGACCCGGGUCAUCGCGGUGGCCCGGAGCAACAUAGUCCCGUCCCGACCGCAUGCGGUGGGGCGGAGACAGAGCGUACGCGCUGAGACCCGAAAGAUGGUGAACUAUUCCUGAGCAGGACGAAGCCAGAGGAAACUCUGGUGGAAGUCCGAAGCGAUUCUGACGUGCAAAUCGAUCGUCUGACUUGGGUAUAGGGGCGAAAGACUAAUCGAACCAUCUAGUAGCUGGUUCCCUCCGAAGUUUCCCCCAGGAUAGCUGGAGCUCGCUUGAGCAGUUAUACUCGGUAAAGCGAAUGAUUAGAGGACUUGGGGACGAAAUGUCCUUAACCUAUUCUCAAACUCUAAAUGGGUAUGAAGCCGGGGUUGCUUGACUCUCUCUGUGAACCCAGGCGUUGAAUGCUGGAGCUCCAAGUGGGCCAUUUUUGGUAAGCAGAACUGGCGAUGUGGGAUGAACCAAACGCGGAGUUAAGGUGCCAAAGUGCCCGCUCAUUAGACCCCAUAAAAGGUGUUGGUUGAUAUAGACAGCAGGACGGUGGCCAUGGAAGUCGGAAUCCGCUAAGGAGUGUGUAACAACUCACCUGCCGAAUCAACUAGCCCUGAAAAUGGAUGGCGCUGGAGCGGGCCACCUAUACUUCGCCGUCAUUGGCUUGUACUGUCUCCACACAUGAGCAAGUCUGGCCAUGACGUGUAGGAGGGUCGUGGCGGUAGCGUUGAAGGCUUUGGGCGUGGGCCCAGCUGGAGCUGCCGCCAGUGCAGAUCUUGGUGGUAGUAGCAAAUAUUCAAGUGAGAUCCUUGAAGACUGAAGUGGAGAAGGGUUCCACGUGAACAGCAGUUGAAUGUGGGUCAGCCGAUCCUAAGGCACCGGCUAAGGCCGUCACACACUACGGAUGAAGAUCUGGUUGCGCUUGCGUUGCCGAUCCAUCCGGUUGCCGAAAGGGAAGUGGGUUAACAUUCCCACGCCAGGCCAGGGAGAUGACGGUUCGCAAGAGCCGUUUCGCGCGGUAACGCAAAUGAACUCGCAGACGUUGUGUGGAGUCCGGGCCAGAGUUCUCUUUUCUGGUUUAGGACGCGUGUCCCUGGAAUCGGUUCAGCCUGAGGUAGGGAUGUUGCGUCCGUAAAGCACCGCGGUUCCUGUGGUGUCUCGUGCGCUCCACACGACCCGUGAAAAUGCGAGGGAAGCGAUGUGAAUUUCCUGCCUGAUCGUACCGAUAUCCGCAGCAGGUCUCCAAGGUGAACAGCCUCUAGUCGAUAGAAUAAUGUAGGUAAGGGAAGUCGGCAAAUUAGAUUCGUAACUUCGGGAAAAGAAUUGGCUCUAAAGGUCGGGUCAGCCGGGCUGUUGUGUGAAACAGGCGGCCUUUGCCCGUGGCUGCGUGCUGGCCCGCAAGGGUUGGCGCGUGGACUAGUGGUGAGGGCUGCUUGUGGAGCGCUUCAGCUGCGUGUACGCUCGCAAGGGUGUGCACUUCGGUUGGCGCUGAACGACCAGUUUAGAACUGGCACGAACUCGGGGAAUCCGACUGUCUAAUUAAAACAGAGGAGACGGAUGGUCCUUGCGGACGUUGACCGUGUCUGAUUUCUGCCCAGUGCUCUGAAUGUUAAGCCAAGGAAACUUGAUUAAGCGCGGGUAAACGGCGGGAGUAACUAUGACUCUCUUAAGGUAGCCAAAUGCCUCGUCCUCCAAUUAGGGACGCGCACGAAUGGAUCAACGAGAUUCCCACUGUCCCUAUCUACUAUCUAGCGAAACCACAGCCAAGGGAACGGGCUUGGCAAAUUUAGCGGGGAAAGAAGACCCUGUUGAGCUUGACUCUAGUCUGACUUUGUGAAGAAUCAUGAGAGGUGUAGCAUAAGUGGGAGCCGCAAGGCGCCAGUGAAAUACCACUACUUUCAUCGAUUCCUUACUUAAUCGGCGG
rnacentral:rRNA from 1 species